rnacentral:rRNA from 1 species
UACAGAGGUCCCAAGCGUUGUUCGGAUUCAUUGGGCGUAAAGGGCGCGUAGGCGGCCUGCUAAGUCACACGUGAAAUCCCUCGGCUCAACCGGGGAACUGCGUGUGAUACUGGCGGGCUUGAAUUCGGGAGAGGGAUGUGGAAUUCCAGGUGUAGCGGUGAAAUGCGUAGAUAUCUGGAGGAACACCGGCGGCGAAGGCGGCAUCCUGGACCGAGAUUGACGCUGAGGCGCGAAAGCUAGGGUAGCAAACGGG